GGCAGUUUGUGAAGGGGGUGGAGGAGGUGGGUUCUCCAUUCCUUUUAUAUUUCGAUCCUUAGAAUCAAACCGAUUGUCAGUUAGAGAGAUGGACUAAGAUUUGUAUUUUGUUGGCUGCUUAAAAUAUUCUUACACUUACGCAGUUGGUUGUAGUUUAGCGUUGAUUAGAAAUUUCACGGAAUAACACUGUACACAAACAACGGAGAAGACGAACCUGAGAGGUGAAGCACACAAAGAACGGAGAAGACGAACCUGAGAGGUGAAGCAGAGGAAACCUUUAUUCUGCGUUUGAGGCGGCUGGAAGAAUCUAUAUGUUUACGGAAUGACAGUGUAGAAUUUCUAAGAAUGAUUUAAAUGUGUAAGGAUGUAUGCGGAAGGAAAUCAGGGCCUAAGAUAUGCAAAUAUUUUCUUACGUUAUUGGAAGGAAAUUUUGGCGUUGAACACGUUCAUGAAAGCUGGAGUAAUUAUGUUGCUUAAUGAAAGUUGGUUGCUGAAAUAUUCUAUCAUCAAUUUUUUUGUGUUUGUGGAAGUGGUGGUGAGUAACUUCCCUCGCACUCAUGCAUUAAGGUUCACGUCCACAUAUGAAAAUGAUAACAUGUUGACACACAAAAAUGAUUGACCUGUUUCUUAUAAGUCUAGAUUUCAAAACAAUUAAAGAAACAGAGUAAUCCUUAAGAAGCAGAAUAAGCGUUCAAAGUAGAUACAAAAGUUUAAGAAAACCGAAAGAAACUAUGAGUCAAUAAUACACUGGAAAGAAACACUUUAAAAGCAAUCCCUUGCAAGCUAUGAGACGCCACACGGAAUCUCUAAUUCCCACCCUUAAGGCAUUUAGCUUUCCCCAUCUCAUCAAUGCGACAAGUUCUCUUUGUCCCCUCUGCAGAAUCCACACUGACUAUGGAAGCUUCACACACGUUGAUUCCAGUCUCAAAUGUUUCCUCC
rnacentral:lncRNA from 1 species